UACAGAGGUCUCAAGCGUUGUUCGGAUUCAUUGGGCGUAAAGGGUGCGUAGGCGGCGCGGUAAGUCGGGUGUGAAAUCUUGGAGCUUAACUCCGAAACUGCAUUCGAUACUGCCGUGCUUGAGGACUGGAGAGGAGACUGGAAUUUACGGUGUAGCGGUGAAAUGCGUAGAUACCGUAAGGAAGACCAGUGGCGAAGGCGGGUCUCUGGACAGUUCCUGACGCUGAGGCACGAAGGCCAGGGGAGCAAACGGG
rnacentral:rRNA from 1 species